ensembl:snoRNA Gm25188 predicted gene, 25188
UGGUCAUUACCAAGGCUUUUAGAAUGCAGUUUCUGAUUUGCUGUGGACAUGACCAUAAAGAAAAUUUUCCAUGAGGUUUUUCAUAUGCUACUUGACUAGCAGUUAACCUGUUGGGAACAUUU